CCUGCCCAAGAGAUCGGGAUAACACCUGGAAACAGAUGCUAAUACCGGAUAACAACAGAUGAUGCCUAUCAACUGUUUAAAAGAUGGUUCUGCUAUCACUCUUGGAUGGACCUGCGGUGCAUUAGCUAGUUGGUAGGGUAACGGCCUACCAAGGCGAUGAUGCAUAGCCUAGUUGAGAGACUGAUCGGCCACAUUGGGACUGAGACACGGCCCAAACUCCUACGGGAGGCAGCAGCC
rnacentral:rRNA from 1 species